rnacentral:rRNA from 1 species
UAAUACGUAGGAUGCAAGCGUUGUUCGGAAUUAUUGGGUGUAAAGGGCGCGUAGGCGGCCUGGCCAGUCACGGGUGAAAGCCCCCGGCUUAACCGGGGAAUUGCCCGUGAUACUACCAGGCUCGAGUACGGGAGAGGGAAGUGGAAUUCCUGGUGUAGCGGUGAAAUGCGUAGAUAUCAGGAGGAACACCGGUGGCGAAGGCGGCUUCCUGGACCGAUACUGACGCUGAGGCGCGAAAGCGUGGGUAGCAAACAGGAUUAGAUACCCUGGUAGUCCACGCCCUAAACGAUGGGCACUAGGUGUGAGGACCUAUUAAGGUCCUCGUGCCGUAGCUAACGCAUUAAGUGCCCCACCUGGGGAGUACGGCCGCAAGGUUGAAACUUAAAUGAAUUGACGG